rfam:Myotis lucifugus cont2.32592, whole genome shotgun sequence.
GGCGGUUCUCGGGUGACACACCCCGGAAUUGGGCUCCCUCCUCUCUGGUUCCAGGUGCACCACCCAAGAACCACU